GUACACUCCUACGGGAGGCAGCAGUGGGGAAUUUUGGACAAUGGGCGAAAGCCUGAUCCAGCAAUGCCGCGUGAGUGAAGAAGGCCUUCGGGUUGUAAAGCUCUUUUGUCAGGGAAGAAACGGUGAAAGCUAAUAUCUUUUGCUAAUGACGGUACCUGAAGAAUAAGCACCGGCUAACUACGUGCCAGCAGCCGCGGUAAUACGUAGGGUGCAAGCGUUAAUCGGAAUUACUGGGCGUAAAGCGUGCGCAGGCGGUUUUGUAAGUCUGAUGUGAAAUCCCCGGGCUCAACCUGGGAAUUGCAUUGGAGACUGCAAGGCUAGAAUCUGGCAGAGGGGGGUAGAAUUCCACGUGUAGCAGUGAAAUGCGUAGAUAUGUGGAGGAACACCGAUGGCGAAGGCAGCCCCCUGGGUCAAGAUUGACGCUCAUGCACGAAAGCGUGGGGAGCAAACAGGAUUAGAUACCCCGGUAGUCCCAUG
rnacentral:rRNA from 1 species